rnacentral:lncRNA from 1 species
AUGCUUCACCAGUUGUGGAUGGCUGGUGGGGAUGCCUCUGCAUUAAUCCUUGCUGGACGAAGUACAAGCAACACUCUUGAGAAGACUUUGAAAGAAAAGGAUCACAGGAUGUGUGGCCCUUUCAGAGUCCAGCCUCUCUCCAGAUGGCUUUCCUCUUCCUGGUCCCGAACCUGCUGUGCUGGGACCUCUCCUGAUUGGGUAGGCCAGAUGCUUCCCUGCUGCUCCACUCAUGAUUGACAGGUGCUUUCCCCAAACAGAAGACCUAACAUCCUCACUUUUAUUCUUGAAUGACAGCGGCUGUGGCCCCUGGAUCUUCUCUGAUGAUUUUGGCUUUGACAUUAUUAAAGUCUUAUGCUGAUUGAAAUAUUCAUAACUGUCUGGGAAUGCCCAUGCUUGGCAGAGACUGCUAUACAUUAACUAUGGCUGAACUGUUGGUAUCUGACCAAGCAUGUGCCUUCAAAAGAUCCAUGUGGCUUAGCGUUCUGAGCUGUCAGAUAAAGAGCAGUGUUUAAAUGACUAGUAUCUUCAUUUGGAAGCUAAUGGGCAAGCAAACCCAGAACAUUAUAAAUUGGCUCUUAGAGAGAAAAUGGACCCUUAUCUGUGUAAAUGGAGCAGCUCAUUUACCUUUUAAGUGUACAUAUAUAAUCAAUAAUGUCGUACUACAGUAAUCUACACCACACCUUUUAAGUAAUUUAGCAACAAAGUUGGAGCUUCUAGUUGUUUCUGUGUUUUCUUUCCUUAAACUUCUUCUUGCUUUCAUGCAAAUGUACCUCUAUGUGAAACAUAUUACAAAUAUACAACUGUGAAUUAUUAUUUUUUUUUUCUAUUUAAAGUGGCUUCCUGCACUUUUCCCUCAUUAAAAAUGUG